rnacentral:rRNA from 1 species
AGAGUUUGAUCCUGGCUCAGGACGAACGCUGGCGGCGUGCUUAACACAUGCAAGUCGAACGGUGAACCUGCUUCGGUGGGGGAUCAGUGGCGAACGGGUGAGUAACACGUGGGCAACCUGCCUCUGGCUCUGGGAUAACUCCAAGAAAUUGGGGCUAAUACCGGAUAUGACUGCUGACCGCAUGGUCUGGUGGUGGAAAGAUUUAUCGGCUGGGGAUGGGCCCGCGGCCUAUCAGCUUGUUGGUGGGGUAGUGGCCUACCAAGGCGACGACGGGUAGCCGGCCUGAGAGGGUGACCGGCCACACUGGGACUGAGACACGGCCCAGACUCCUACGGGAGGCAGCAGUGGGGAAUAUUGCGCAAUGGGCGAAAGCCUGACGCAGCGACGCCGCGUGAGGGAUGAAGGCCUUCGGGUUGUAAACCUCUUUCAGCAGGGACGAAGCGAGAGUGACGGUACCUGCAGAAGAAGCACCGGCCAACUACGUGCCAGCAGCCGCGGUAAUACGUAGGGUGCAAGCGUUGUCCGGAAUUAUUGGGCGUAAAGAGCUCGUAGGCGGUCUGUCGCGUCGGCUGUGAAAACUCGGGGCUCAACCCCGAGCCUGCAGUCGAUACGGGCAGACUAGAGUGCUGUAGGGGAGACUGGAAUUCCUGGUGUAGCGGUGAAAUGCGCAGAUAUCAGGAGGAACACCGGUGGCGAAGGCGGGUCUCUGGGCAGUAACUGACGCUGAGGAGCGAAAGCGUGGGGAGCAAACAGGAUUAGAUACCCUAGUAGUCC